rnacentral:rRNA from 1 species
UGUCAGGCCUAACACAUGCAAGUCGAGCGGAUGAGUGGAGCUUGCUCCAUGAUUCAGCGGCGGACGGGUGAGUAAUGCCUAGGAAUCUGCCUGGUAGUGGGGGACAACGUUUCGAAAGGAACGCUAAUACCGCAUACGUCCUACGGGAGAAAGUGGGGGAUCUUCGGACCUCGCGCUAUCAGAUGAGCCUAGGUCGGAUUAGCUAGUUGGUGAGGUAAAGGCUCACCAAGGCGACGAUCCGUAACUGGUCUGAGAGGAUGAUCAGUCACACUGUAACUGC